AUGCUACUCCCUCUGUUCGGAAUUACUCGUCCAAGAAAUGAAUGUAUCUAGAUGUAUUUUAGUUAUAGAUACAUCCAUUUUUAUGACAAGUAAUUCCGAACGGAGGGAGUACCUC
rnacentral:pre_miRNA from 1 species